AAUUAACCCUCACUAAAGAGAGUUUGAUCCUGGCUCAGGAUCAACGCUGGCGGCGUGCAUGAGACAUGCAAGUCGAACGGACGACAUCGGGCUUGCCUGGUGUCGUUAGUGGCGGACGGCUGAGUAACGCGUAGGUGACCUGCCCCGAAGUGGGGAAUAACUGCCCGAAAGGGUGGCUAAUACCGCAUGUGGUGAUGCGUUCAUUCGCAUCAGUAAAGCCGCAAGGSCUUCGGGAGGGGCCUGCGUCCGAUUAGCUCGUUGGUGGGGUAACGGCUCACCAAGGCGACGAUCGGUAGGUGGUCUGAGAGGACGAUCACCCAGACUGGGACUGAGACAMGGCCCAGACUCCUACGGGAGGCAGCAGUCGGGAAUUUUGCGCAAUGGACGAAAGUCUGACGCAGCAACGCCGCGUGAGGGAUGACGGCCUUCGGGUUGUAAACUCUUUUGUCAGGGACGAUGAUGACGGUACCUGACGAAUAAGCCACGGCUAACUACGUGCCAGCAGCCGCGGUAAUACGUAGGUGGCAAGCGUUGUCCSGAUUUACUGGGCGUAAAGAGCGCGCAGGCGGUCGUUCAAGUCGCGUGUGAAAGCCCCCSGCUCAACUGGGGAGGGUCACGCGAUACUGAUCGACUCGAAGGCAGGAGAGGGUAGUGGAAUUCCCSGUGUAGUGGUGAAAUGCGUAGAUAUCGGGAGGMACACCAGUGGCGAGGCGACUACCCUGGCCUGUUUCUU
rnacentral:rRNA from 1 species